UACGAAGGGGGCUAGCGUUGCUCGGAAUGACUGGGCGUAAAGGGCGCGUAGGCGGUUUGUACAGUCAGGUGUGAAAUUCCCGGGCUCAACCUGGGGGCUGCACUUGAUACGUAGGAACUGGAGUGGGGAAGAGGGUCGUGGAAUUCCCAGUGUAGAGGUGAAAUUCGUAGAUAUUGGGAAGAACACCGGUGGCGAAGGCGGCGACCUGGUCCUUGACUGACGCUGAGGCGCGAAGGCUAGGGGAGCGAACAGG
rnacentral:rRNA from 1 species